GCUCCAGACUCCUACGGGAGGCAGCAGUGGGGAAUAUUGCGCAAUGGACGAAAGUCUGACGCAGCGACGCCGCGUGAGGGAUGAAGGUUUUCGGAUCGUAAACCUCUGUCAGGAGGGAAGAAAGCGUAUGGCGCCAAUCAGCCAUGCGUUGACGGUACCUUCAAAGGAAGCACCGGCUAACUCCGUGCCAGCAGCCGCGGUAAUACGGAGGGUGCGAGCGUUAAUCGGAAUUACUGGGCGUAAAGCGCACGUAGGCUGUAUGACAAGUCAAGGGUGAAAUGCCACGGCUCAACCGUGGAACUGCCUUUGAAACUGUCAAACUGGAGUAUGUGAGAGGGCGGCGGAAUUCCUGGUGUAGGAGUGAAAUCCGUAGAUAUCAGGAGGAACAUCAGUGGCGAAGGCGGCCGCCUGGCACAAAACUGACGCUGAGGUGCGAAAGCGUGGGUAGCAAACAGGAUUAGAUACCCCAGUA
rnacentral:rRNA from 1 species